AAAGCAGGUCAGACAGUCGCGUGUGAUAUUCGAUAUCACAUGAGGAAAGUCCGAACUCCGCAGGGCAGGGUGGUCCGUAACGCGGACGCGUUGUGAGGCGCGGAAAGUGCCACAGAGAACAGACAUUCCGUCAUUGACGGAUUAAGGUGAAACGGCGAGGUAAGAGCUCACCGCCUCAAUGGUGACAUUGAGGGCACGGUAAACCCCACCCGGAGCAAGACCAAAUAUAAGGGGAGAGACGGCCCGUCUUGUUUGACCCUUGGGUAGGUCGCAUGAGUCUGGUGGCAACAUCAGGCCCAGAUAAAUGACUGUCGGUUCGCCUGUCGGCGAAUUACAGAAUUCGGCUUAUCGAUCUGCUUUGUAA
rnacentral:RNase_P_RNA from 1 species